AUGAAAAACGCUACCUACUCUAUCGUGUCCUGGAACGUUCACGGUCUAGGAGAUAAUGAUAAGUGCUCCAAUGUGUUCUCUGAAAUCAAUCUCCUACCCCCAUCCAUUGCCCUUCUUCAAGAAACCAAAUUACAAAAACCAGACACAAACAAACUACGAUCGAUCUUGCCGCGCUUCCUAGACUCUAAUAACCACCUCGACGCAAUCGGAACGGCGGGCGGCAUUCUCUCGGCUUCUAACUCACGUUGCUUCUCGCUUCUCAACUGCCAACACAUGCGUUUCACUUCCACAUUAACGCUAUCAUGUCUUGCAUCGCCACAUAAUAUCUUCAUCACUAAUGUCUACGCCCCCUCGCAACGAGAGCUAAAACUAGUCUUCCUUGACGAACUGAAACAGAUCGAACCACCACCUCAAUCUCCUUGGCUCCUAAUAGGUGAUUUCAACCUGACUCGAUUCCCCAAUGAACGCAACACCGACAACUUUAGACGAUCGGAGGCUGAUGCCUUUAACGACACCAUCGACCAACUUGCUCUCUUAGAGCUCCCGCUCCUUGAUAGAGAAUUUACCUGGUCAAAUAAAAGACUACCCCCCACGCUGAUUCGCCUAGAUAGGGUACUGAUCAAUCUAUCUUGGGAUGCUCUUUUCCCUAACUCACACCUCACCUCCCUCACUCGAUUUGUCUCUGAUCAUGUUCGACUCCUCGUUACCGUAUCCACAUCCGUCCCAUCUUCCCGCCUUUUUCGAUUUGAACAAUUUUGGACCUCCUUCCCAGCCUGUUCUAACAUUGUGCGCGGCUGCUGGCAGCCCGGCCCACAGCGCCACGGUGGGCGUUUCAUUGAUCCGGCGGCUUCGCUCGCUCAAAAAAUUAAAGGUACAAGAUCGGCCCUGAAGACUUGGGCCAAGUCGCUGCGGCCCAUCUAUCAACGGGAAACAAAUUGCAAACUCGCUCUCCAGGCCCUUGACCUAAACGAGGAAUUCGCUCCUCUCUUCCCGAUCGAACAAAAACUGAGGCUUACGCUCUCCAACUUGCUACAACAUACCAUCAAACAAAAAAUCGCCUUCUGGAAACAGAGGGGAAAGAUCAGGGUCGCCAUUGACAGUGACGAAAACACUCGAUUCUUCCAUGCCUCGGCUACGCAACGCUCUCGAUCAAACAAGAUUCCCAUGCUUUUACACAACACUUCCGAAGUUUUUCUGCACGAACAAAAAGCUGACAUCUUAAAGGACUUCUUCCAACAGCUCAUCGGGACCUCAAAAAAUGCAACAUGGAACUUCAGCUUGCAACAACUGUACCCCUCACCCCUCCCCCAGCUCAGUGAUCUUGCACAACCUUUCUCUUAUGACGAAAUAUACCAAGCCUUCCUCUCUAUGAACACCAAUGCUAGCCCUGGACCAGAUGGCUUUGGACCCAUCUUCUUCAGAAAAUAUUGGAAUGAUAUCAAAAAACCCAUCCUAACCUUCUUCGCCGCCUUCCAUGAUCAAACCGCUUCUUUAGAACGAUUCAACCGGGCCUACAUGGUCCUUCUUCCAAAAUCUCAGGCACCAACAACCCCAGACGCGUUUAGACCCAUAUCUCUUCAAAACUGCACGCCAAAAGCAGUUGCCAAAGUCCUCACCAGUAGAGUUAAACCUCUCAUCCCACUGCUCAUACAUUAUGACCAGACUGGCUUCCUUCAUGGACGUAGCAUUGCUGAAAACUUUAUAUACGCUGCCGAUAUCCUCAGUGCAUGCCACUCCCGUAAAGCCCCGACCAUGAUCUUCAAGCUCGAUUUCAGGAAAGCUUUUGACUCCAUAUGCUGGUCCUCCCUCAUACAAAUCUUACAAGCCCGCGGUUUUCCCUCUGACUUCUGUUCUUGGGUACAAAAUAUCCUUCUCACUGGGAAAACAACUAUCCUUUUAAAUGGCGUUCCAGGAUCCUGGAUUCAAUGUAGAUGUGGCCUCCGCCAAGGUGAUCCAUUCUCGCCAUACUUAUUCAUCAUCGUUGCCGACGUCCUUCAACGUCUAAUUGCAAAAGCGUUCCAAACCAACGUUCUUUGUCACCCGUUACGGCCUAAUGAACCACCUGUGACACUUCAAUACGCUGACGAUACACUGAUAAUUGCUGUGGCUAGCGACGCCGCCACCAUCAUCCUCAAAAACACCCUUCAUGACUUCGCCCUUGCAACGGGGCUAGUCAUCAACUUCCAAAAAACGGCUCUUCUCACCAUAGCCACCGACUCUUCCACGCAAAACAACAUUGCCACAACGAUUGGUUGUUCCUUAUCCUCCUUCCCGCUAGUGUAUCUAGGUCUACCACUCUCCCCCACCAAACUGCCUCUCACAGCUUUCGACCCAAUCAUAGACAGCUUUCGAAAAUUCCUCUUCGGUUGGGUGGCCCGCCUGCUCUCUCGGGGGGCACGUCUCACCCUGCUAACUGCGGUUCUUGACUCCUUAACAAUUUAUUUUAUGUCCGUCUUUCGCCUACCAAAAUCGAUCAGAGCCAAACUAGACGCCAUCCGGAGGGCGUUCUUCUGGUCUAACGAGCCAACCUGCACUGGGGCGAGCUGCUUGGUCGCGUGGAAAAAUGUUUGCAAACCUAAAGAUACUGGUGGUCUAGGCAUUAAAAAUCUGGAAGUUCAAAACCGCUGCUUGCUUAUGAAAUUCUCCUCCAAAAUUCUACAACACCCAAACAUCCCCUGGACCCAAUGGUACCACCACCAAUACCCUCUUGGCAUUGCAGCAAAAACCUCAAAACCCUCCUUCCUCUGGAAGAUCAUUAACAACAACUUGCCACUGCUAAUUUAG
rnacentral:rRNA from 1 species